rnacentral:rRNA from 1 species
GAUAUGGCUCAGGAUGAACGCUGGCGGCGUGCUUAACACAUGCAAGUCGAACGAAGCACUUUAAUUGAUUUCUUCGGAAUGAAGUUUUUGUGACUGAGUGGCGGACGGGUGAGUAACGCGUGGGUAACCUGCCUCAUACAGGGGGAUAACAGUUGGAAACGACUGCUAAUACCGCAUAAGCGCACAGGAUUGCAUGAUCCAGUGUGAAAAACUCCGGUGGUGUGAGAUGGACCCGCGU